rnacentral:rRNA from 1 species
UACGUAGGGUGCAAGCGUUAUUCGGAAUUACUGGGCGUAAAGCGUGCGCAGGCGGCUUUGCAAGACAGAUGUGAAAUCCCCGGGCUUAACCUGGGAACUGCAUUUGUGACUGCAUGGCUGGAGUGCGGCAGAGGGGGAUGGAAUUCCGAGUGUAGCAGUGAAAUGCGUAGAUAUGCGGAGGAACACCGAUGGCGAAGGCAAUCCCCUGGGCCUGCACUGACGCUCAUGCACGAAAGCGUGGGGAGCAAACAGG